rnacentral:rRNA from 1 species
AGUGAACGCUGGCGGUAGGCCUAACACAUGCAAGUCGAACGGCAGCACAGUAAGAGCUUGCUCUUACGGGUGGCGCGUGGCGGACGGGUGAGGAAUACAUCGGAAUCUACUUUUUCGUGGGGGAUAACGUAGGGAAACUUACGCUAAUACCGCAUACGACAUACGGGUGAAAGCAGGGGAUCUUCGUACCUUGCGCGAUUGAAUGAGCCGAUGUCGGAUUAGCUAGUUGGCGGGGUAAAGGCCGACCAAGGCGACGAUCCGUAGCUGUACUGAGAGGAUGAUCAGCCGCACUGGAACUGAGACACGGUCCAGACUCCUACGGGAGGCAGCAGUGGGGAAUAUUAGACAAUGGGCGAAAGCCUGAUCCAGCCAUACCGCGUGGGUGAAGAAGGCCUUCGGGUUGUAAAGCCCUUUUGUUGGGAAAGAAAAGCAGCAGGUUAAUACCCCGCUGUUCUGACGGUACCCAAAGAAUAAGCACCGGCUAACUUCGUG